rnacentral:rRNA from 1 species
GGACGGGUGAGUAACGCGUGGGUAACCUGCCUUAUACAGGGGGAUAACAACCAGAAAUGGUUGCUAAUACCGCAUAAGCGCACAGGACCGCAUGGUCCGGUGUGAAAAACUCCGGUGGUAUAAGAUGGACCCGCGUUGGAUUAGCUAGUUGGCAGGGUAACGGCCUACCAAGGCGACGAUCCAUAGCCGGCCUGAGAGGGUGAACGGCCACAUUGGGACUGAGACACGGCCCAGACUCCUACGGGAGGCAGCAGUGGGGAAUAUUGCACAAUGGGGGAAACCCUGAUGCAGCGACGCCGCGUGAAGGAAGAAGUAUCUCGGUAUGUAAACUUCUAUCAGCAGGGAAGAUAGUGACGGUACCUGACUAAGAAGCCCCGGCUAACUACGUGCCAGCAGCCGCGGUAAUACGUAGGGGGCAAGCGUUAUCCGGAUUUACUGGGUGUAAAGGGAGCGUAGACGGACUGGCAAGUCUGAUGUGAAAGGCGGGGGCUCAACCCCUGGACUGCAUUGGAAACUG